rnacentral:tRNA from 1 species
ACCUGGGUGGCUCAGUCGGUUAAGCGCCCGACUUGGACUCAGGUCAUGAUCUCACAGUUUGUGGGUUCGAGCCCCGUGUCAGGUU